UUUAACACACACAAACACACAUUUUCGUGUGUUCUAGAAACGGGCAGAGCUCCAUAGGAGCCAAAACCCUAAUCAUGAAAGAUCAUCAAAUUGAAAGGCUAAAUAAAGCUUAAAUUCACAACCGAGCAUGGAUUAAUGAUCACCUUCACAAGGGGAUCGUAAGUAUAGGGAUCAUGUCAAGAUGGAUGGAAGCAUGGAAGGCUAAGGGGUCAAAAGGAGGCGAGGAAACAAAUGCGAAUACGGACACUUAAGGUUAGUCAGAUAUUCAUGAUGGACAAGUGAACGAGGGUCGAGUUGAAGAUCAUGGAUUGUAUGGGAAAACGGUCACGUUGUUUGUAAUUAUUUGUUACCAUAGUUACAUUAAAUAAAUGAUGAAUGAUGUAUUUAUGUUAAAAGGGUUGACAUAAACGGUAUUCAAGUAUGUUAGAGUAGUUAAAAGAAAGAAAUUUUAGGGUUCAUUUUCCGCUGA